ensembl:miRNA
UAAUUCCCUUCCUGGUUAAUUAAAUCCUCAGACUGGUGCUGUGUUCCUAGCCUCUGGCCUCUCUAUAGGGGUAGGGUGUCCCAGGGAAG